AUUGAACGCUGGCGGCAGGCUUAACACAUGCAAGUCGAGCGGGGGAAGGUAGCUUGCUACCGGACCUAGCGGCGGACGGGUGAGUAAUGCUUAGGAAUCUGCCUAUUAGUGGGGGACAACAUCUCGAAAGGGAUGCUAAUACCGCAUACGCCCUACGGGAGAAAGCAGGGGAUCUUCGGACCUUGCGCUAAUAGAUGAGCCUAAGUCGGAUUAGCUAGUUGGUGGGGUAAAGGCCUACCAAGGCGACGAUCUGUAGCGGGUGUGAGAGGAUGAUCCGCCACACUGGGACUGAGACACGGCCCGGACUCCUACGGGAGGCAGCAGUGGGGAAUAUUGGACAAUGGGGGGAACCCUGAUCCAGCCAUGCCGCGUGUGUGAAGAAGGCCUUAUGGUUGUAAAGCACUUUAAGCGAGGAGGAGGCUACUUUAGUUAAUACCUAGAGAUAGUGGACGUUACUCGCAGAAUAAGCACCGGCUAACUCUGUGCCAGCAGCCGCAGUAA
rnacentral:rRNA from 1 species